CCUACGGGAGGCAGCAGUGAGGAAUAUUGGUCAAUGGGCGCAAGCCUGAACCAGCCAUGCCGCGUGAAGGAAGAAGGAUCUAUGGUUUGUAAACUUCUUUUAUUUAGGAAUAAACUCUCGGACGUGUCCGAGCCUGAAGGUACUAAAUGAAUAAGCACCGGCUAACUCCGUGCCAGCAGCCGCGGUAAUACGGAGGGUGCAAGCGUUAUCCGGAAUCAUUGGGUUUAAAGGGUCCGCAGGCGGUCUUAUAAGUCAGUGGUGAAAUCUCGUAGCUUAACUAUGAAACUGCCAUUGAUACUGUAGGACUUGAAUUCGGUCGAAGUGGGCGGAAUAUGACAUGUAGCGGUGAAAUGCGUAGAUAUGUCAUAGAACACCGAUAGCGAAGGCAGCUCACUAGGCCUGGAUUGACGCUCAGGGACGAAAGCGUGGGGAGCAAACAGGAUUAGAUACCCCUGUAGUC
rnacentral:rRNA from 1 species